AGGAAAAGGAGAAGGAAGGGCAUUUGCAGAGGGAAAGGCUGUCCCGCUGGCCUUAGGUGUUGCUGAACGGGAGGGGUGCCAAUGCUUUCUCUUUCCACUGCCUCACGGAUGGUGGCAAAUGCCUUCUGGGGGUGGUUCCAGCAGUGGGAAGAAAACAGCUGGCAGCGGAGGGGUAAACCUCUUUGGGCUGCUGAGCUGUGUGCUGAACCAUAAGGAAGGUGGCUGUAAAGGUGUGCCGUGCAGAUGUCGUGUGCCCAGCAGUCGGGCCGAUGAAGAGCAACAAAUGAAGCGCCAGCAAUAUCAUCAGUGUACUGCAGGUGCUCGGGAGCGCCGCCCUGUUCCAAUACGGUUUGGAUCAACCCAUGGCAAAUGGUUGGCAAAUCUCCUAUUCAAUGGCAAAUAACCUUAAGCUUCCUUUGGCCAAAUCCGGCAGUAAAGCAGUGCCCUUUGAGGGUAUGCAACUGUAGGAGGAUAAAAGAAAAAUAGAUAACUUUUGGAUUUUGGAUUACUAACUGAAUGUGAAUCCAAAUACAAUACUCCAAUCUUGACAAUGAAAAAAUUGGAUUGCAAGUGCUAUAGUUUGUACAAGAUUGGAGGGCAAGUAGUAGAACUCUUGAAUGUAUUCACUCCGUGGUGGCAAAUCCAUCCACUUUAGUAACUAAGUUAGGGAAUGAGUAGGUGGAGUUUGCCUUCUGGAUUUGAAGGAUGCCUUUUCUGCCUGGUUUGGCUAAAGGAAGCCUAAGGUUAUUUGCUUUUGAAUAGGAGAACCCCAAUAUGGCGAGAAAAAGACUCAGUUAACCUGGACGGUGUUACCCAGGGUUGUGAGAACAACCCAAUGAUUUUUGAGAACUGGUCAGCUUGUGAGCCUGAGAUUUGGGUUCCUACAUCCCUCAGUGGAACUUCACUGCAGCAUGUGGAUGCCACAGAAACAAAGAGGACUGUGUGCAGUGGAUUGCGAGUGUGCUGAAUUUGUUUAAAUGAUUAUCAAGUUUCUCAGCAGAAGGCACAAAUAAAUCAAUGGCAAGUGACGGAUCUGGGAUAGGAGAUUACAGUCGGACUUGGAACCUUAAGGACUGCCAGGAAAGAUGCCAUCUGCCAAACCACUGAGCCACAAAGUGCCGAGGAACUCCGUACAUUCUCAGGAAUGACAGGAGGGUGCCAACUGUGGAUACACGGCUACGGACUGUUGGUAAAGCCCCUUCAUGAAUUGAGUAAGAGAUGGCCGGAGUGGUUGAGAGCGGUGGCUGCACCAGUGCUCAGUAUGCAAGAACCCGGUAAAUUUACGCUACGCCAAAGAAUAACAGUUUUAAUAUCUCAUACAGUGUCUGCUGUAUUGGAGGUAAAAGGGGGGCAUUGGCUCUCACCCCCAGAGGUUCCUGAAAUACCAGGCCAUCCUGGUACGGCAGGAUGAUACAGAAAGAACUGUAACUAAUGUUGUCAACCCAGCAUCUUUCCUUAGCGGAACUCCUGGAGAACCAGUAUUUCAUGACUGCUUUGAAACAACUGAAGCUACGGACUGCUGCCAGUCAGACCUGAAAGACAAAUCCUUGAAGAUGCAGAAGACACCUGGCUUACUGAUGGAAGCAGUUUUGUGAGACAAGGAAUCGGUAAGAAAGGGUAUGCAGUAACUGCUACUGACAGGGUCAUCGAAGCACAACCAUUACCUGUGGGGACUUUCUCUCAGAAGGCUGAAAUAGCUGCCUUGACAGGAGCCUGGAAUAUAUGGACAGAUGCUAAUUAUGUAUUUGGGGUGCUACACGCUCAUAGCACCACCUGAAAAGAGCAAGGAGUGCUCACACACAAGGAAAAACAGCAUGAUGUAAAUCUACCAAAGAGCAUGGCUAUUAUACAUUGUAAAGAACAUCAGAAAGGGAACACUGUACAGGAAACUGGGGAUAAGAUGGAGGAUCAGGUGGCAGAACAGGUAGUUGAAGAGGGCUUUAAUUCCAGACGGUAAACUUACAAUUUCUGAACAAGAGUCAGAACCUGUAAAAGAUUUUUAAGAGGAUAGCAAUCUAAUUAAUGAUUAAGAAGGGAAGAGAGCAGGCUGACAGAUGGACACAUCGUUUUGCCCUUUGGUAUUCUAUGGAAAUUGGUUCUAAAGAAGGAUGAGAAAAUGUAUUGGGCAAACGGACAUUACAAAGUACGAUCCUAGUAGCAGGAACAGGGUACAAGUGGGCCUAUUGGGAAAGAGAACCUUCCAGGGCAACGAUGACCAAUUGAUUUCUCGAAACUCCCAAGAAAAGGGGGGUAUCGCUGUGUGUUGGUACUAACUGAUACCUUUUUGGGACGGCCAG
ensembl:lncRNA